UUCUGUGAAUGCUACUUUUCAGUAUCUGUUAUUCUUAACUGUGAUUUGUCGCAGUUAAGAGUCGCAGUUAAGGAACAUAGGUCGUGUAUCCCUCCGCCACUGCUAUUUCUGCGAUUUCUGCUACUUCCGCGAUUUCUGUGACUUCUGCUACUUCUGCGAUUUCUGUGACUUCUGCUACUUCUGCGAUUUCUGCGACUUCUGCUACUUCUGCGAUUUCUGCGACUUACCACCGUAUGAAAAAGUUACAUCUGUCAACACAGAAAAUUGCAUCUCAACAAACCUGUCAUUGGCAAGUACCUGAACUACAUUUCAGUCACUCAGUAAAGUGAUAACUCAAAAUAUCAUUGUCAACAGAUCUGAAAAAAUUGCCACUGCGUCUUUAGACCGUUUUCGUCAGACGAGAGACACAGUUCUGACUCUGAUUACUGGUUGCUGUACGUAUCUAUCCACAUCAAGGCUGUUUUUGAGAGAGACUCGCGAAGAUUCAAGACAGCUCUUAGAGGAUUUACAGUUUAAAAGUGAAGUAAUUGUGAAAUAAGUGUGUGAAUGAUUAAACUGUGUUUUAUUGAAGUUGUUGUGCGAUUUUAAAGGAAUAAUAAAUGUCAAAUA